GACGUAGGGCGCGAGCGUUGUCCGGAUUUAUUGGGCGUAAAGAGCUCGUAGGCGGCUUGUCGCGUCGUCCGUGAAAACCUGCAGCUCAACUCCGAGCUUGCAGUCGAUACGGGCAGGCUAGAGUUCGGCAGGGGAGACUGGAAUUCCUGGUGUAGCGGUGAAAUGCGCAGAUAUCAGGAGGAACACCGAUGGCGAAGGCAGGUCUCUGGGCCAUAACUGACGCUGAGAAGCGAAAGCAUGGGGAGCGAACAGG
rnacentral:rRNA from 1 species